rnacentral:lncRNA from 1 species
GCAGAGCUCGUAAUUGCUGCGGGGAGGACAGGCCAGCUCUGGAAGAAAACAGGUGGACCUGGGUCCCAUUAACCUGGACAGACACCUCCAAGAUGAGCAUGAGGGGGCUGCUGGAUCUGUUCUCCUUUCACAGCUGUAUCCUGAAGAAUGGCAGUGAGCCGGAAGAGCCACAGGAUUCGGCAAAGACGGACACACAGGCAACACAAAAAGGAUGUUCUGGGUCACCUGGUGUGCCUGCCAAGUUGUUGGAUAUAUUUAGAAGUGUGAAAAUCCCAGGAAAAAAAAAGCGAGGUGGGGAUACAAGCUUGGGGUUGUUUUUGUUUGUUUGUUUGUUUCAUCAUUUCCCUGAGUUGUUGAAAAACCCAAAUACCUCUGCAGGGUGGCGGCGUGGUGCUGGCCAGAGCCGG